AUGAUUGCCACUCCGAAAAGAAAAACCUCAUAGGUUCCUUUUCACUCCUAAAUCCCUUUUAGAAGAAGAGCGCUUGUAUCAAACUAGAUGAAUGUAGGACUGGAGAACAUCAAGGAGAAUGGGUGGGUUAGGAUAUAUUUGAGCCUUAAAUCAUUUCUUUCUGAAACCGUGAACCAGACCGUGUUACAACCCUUAAAAUACCUAAUUGAAGUAGGGUUUAUUUCGAAAGCAUACUAUGGC
rnacentral:lncRNA from 1 species